rnacentral:misc_RNA from 1 species
UGGCUCUGGCAUCGAUGAAGAACGCAGCGAAAUGCGAUAAGUAAUGUGAAUUGCAGAAUUCAGUGAAUCAUCGAAUCUCUGAACGCACAUUGCGCCCGCCAGUAUUCUGGCGGGCAUGCCUGUUCGAGCGUCAUUUCAACCCUCAAGCCCCCGGGCUUGGUGUUGGGGAUCGGCACAAGGCCCCUCGCGGCCCGCCGCCCCCCAAAUGCAGUGGCGGUCACGUCGCAGCCCUCUAUGCGUAGUAGCAACACCUCGCACUGGAGCGCGACGCGGCCACGCCGUAAAACCCCCGACUUUUUUCUGGUUGACCUCGAAUCAGGUAGGACUACCCGCUGA